UACAGAUCGUAGAGUUUGAUCCUGGCUCAGAUUGAACGCUGGCGGCAUGCCUUACACAUGCAAGUCGAACGGCAGCACGGGGGCAACCCUGGUGGCGAGUGGCGAACGGGUGAGUAAUAUAUCGGAACGUGCCCUGGAGUGGGGGAUAACGUAGUGAAAGUUACGCUAAUACCGCAUACGAUCUAAGGAUGAAAGUGGGGGAUCGCAAGACCUCAUGCUCCUGGAGCGGCCGAUAUCUGAUUAGCUAGUUGGUAGGGUAAAAGCCUACCAAGGCGACGAUCAGUAGCUGGUCUGAGAGGACGACCAGCCACACUGGGACUGAGACACGGCCCAGACUCCUACGGGAGGCAGCAGUGGGGAAUUUUGGACAAUGGGGGGCAACCCUGAUCCAGCAAUGCCGCGUGUGUGAAGAAGGCCUUCGGGUUGUAAAGCACUUUUGUCAGGAACGAAACGGGCUGGGUUAAUACCUUGGUCUAAUGACGGUACCUGAAGAAUAAGCACCGGCUAACUACGUGCCAGCAGCCGCGGUAAU
rnacentral:rRNA from 1 species